AGACAUGUGUUUGUGUGUUUA
rnacentral:siRNA from 1 species